UGGGGAAUUUUGGACAAUGGGCGAAAGCCUGAUCCAGCAAUGCCGCGUGUGUGAAGAAGGUCUUCGGGUUGUAAAGCACUUUUGUCCGGAAAGAAAUCCUUGGCUCUAAUACAGUCGGGGGAUGACGGUACCGGAAGAAUAAGCACCGGCUAACUACGUGCCAGCAGCCGCGGUAAUACGUAGGGUGCAAGCGUUAAUCGGAAUUACUGGGCGUAAAGCGUGCGCAGGCGGUUUGCUAAGACCGAUGUGAAAUCCCCGGGCUCAACCUGGGAACUGCAUUGGUGACUGGCAGGCUAGAGUAUGGCAGAGGGGGGUAGAAUUCCACGUGUAGCAGUGAAAUGCGUAGAGAUGUGGAGGAAUACCGAUGGCGAAGGCAGCCCCCUGGGCCAAUACUGACGCUCAUGCACGAAAGCGUGGGGAGCAAACAGGAUUAGAUACCCUGGUAGUCCACGCCCUAAACGAUGUCAACUAGUUGUUGGGGAUUCAUUUCCUUAGUAACGUAGCUAACGCGUGAGGUUGACCGCCUGGGGAGUACGGUCGCAAGAUUAAAA
rnacentral:rRNA from 1 species